rnacentral:rRNA from 1 species
AACGAACGCUGGCGGCGCGCCUAAUACAUGCAAGUCGAGCGAGAAGACGUAGCAAUACGUUUGUAAAGCGGCGAACGGGUGAGGAAUACAUGGGUAACCUACCCUCGAGUGGGGAAUAACUAGCCGAAAGGUUAGCUAAUACCGCGUACGCUCCUUGGACUUCGGUUCAGGGAGGAAAGCGAUACCGUGGGUACCGCGCUCUUGGAUGGGCUCAUGUCCUAUCAGCUUGUUGGUGAGGAACGGCUCACCAAGGCUUCGACGGGUAGCUGGUCUGAGAGGACGAUCAGCCACACUGGCACUGCGACACGGGCCAGACUCCUACGGGAGGCAGCAGUAAGGAAUAUUGCGCAAUGGGCGAAAGCCUGACGCAGCGACGCCGCGUGGGGGAUGAAGGUCUUCGGAUUGUAAACCCC